UACAGAGGGUGCGAGCGUUGUUCGGAAUUACUGGGCGUAAAGGGCGCGUAGGCGGCCUUCUAAGUCGGACGUGAAAUCCCCGGGCUCAACCCGGGAACUGCGUCCGAUACUGGAGGGCUUGAAUCCGGGAGAGGGAUGUGGAAUUCCAGGUGUAGCGGUGAAAUGCGUAGAUAUCUGGAGGAACACCGGUGGCGAAGGCGACAUCCUGGACCGGUAUUGACGCUGAGGCGCGAAAGCCAGGGGAGCAAACGGG
rnacentral:rRNA from 1 species